rnacentral:rRNA from 1 species
GAGUUUGAUUCUGGCUCAGGAUGAACGCUGGCGGCGUGCUUAACACAUGCAAGUCGAACGGGCGAAUUAUAUCGGAGGUCUUCGGGCCGAAGAGAUAAUAAGCUAGUGGCGGGCGGGUGCGUAACGUGUGGGUAAUCUGCCUUUGUCAUAGGAAUAACUGCUUGAAAAAGUAGCUAAUACCAAAUAACAUAUCGUAUAGGCAUCUAUAAGAUAUCAAAGAGAAAUCGGACAAAGAUGAGCCCGCAUCUGAUUAGCUGGUUGGUAGGGUAAAAGCCUACCAAGGCGACGAUCAGUAGCCGGCCUGAGAGGGUGAACGGCCACAUUGGAACUGAGACACGGUCCAAACUCCUACGGGAGGCAGCAGUGGGGAAUAUUGCACAAUGGGGGGAACCCUGAUGCAGCAACGCCGCGUGAGUGAAGAAGGCUUUCGAGUCGUAAAACUCUGUUGUAAGGGAAGAUAANGACGGACCUAAAAGAAGCCCCGG